UUUAGGAGUAACAAGGCGGCUCUCACGAGAUGCUAGACAGAUCAAACAGAAAGGUGGAUAUUUGGAAGGAACAGUCUUCUCCCACUGAUGAGGUAAACCUCGAGACCAAUCCAGAAAUAAAUUGCCAAGCUUCUAUCAAAUAAUUCAAAAGGAGACCCAGGACUCUUGAUGAUACACUUGAAGUCACUAAAUAUGAAAGAUGAUAGCAUCUUGGAAGGCAAGAGCAGAGGAAAGGAGAAUUUUCACAGGGAAGAAGAAAGAGUUGGUGAAAGUGAAAUUGCUUUAACAAAAUAAUGAUCUCUAUACCUCCUUCUCGAACUGUGGUUUGAAGGACAGUAUCAUCAGCAUUACUUGGAGCUUGUGAGAAAUUUAGAAUUUCAAGGCCCCCUCGACCCCAACUUACUGGUGCAAACUCUGUAUUGUAACCCGAUCCCCAAGGUGAUUCUAGUGUACAUUAAAGUGU
rnacentral:lncRNA from 1 species